UAAGCAGCUUUCAGAAUUGCUUCUGAGUC
rnacentral:piRNA from 1 species